rnacentral:SRP_RNA from 1 species
AGCCGGAAUCUGGGAGUCGAGUGCCACCGAAUCUGGUCAGGCCUUGACGGGAGCAGCCAUAAGGCGGUUACCGACGUCCCGGACACUCUGGCUGUG